CCUACGGGAGGCUGCAGUGGGGAAUAUUGGGCAAUGGAGGCAACUCUGACCCAGCAACGCCGCGUGAAUGAUGAAGGUCUUCGGAUUGUACAGUUCUGUGAUGGGGGAUGAACACAAUGACGGUACCCCAAUAGCAAGCCACGGCUAACUACGUGCCAGCAGCCGCGGUAAUACGUAGGUGGCAAGCGUUAUCCGGAAUGACUGGGCGUAAAGGGUGCGUAGGUGGUUUAGUAAGUUGGCGGUGUAAUUCCGGGGCUCAACCUCGGCGCUACCGCCAAAACUAUUAGACUAGAGUGCAGGAGGGGUAAGUGGAAUUCCUAGUGUAGCGGUGGAAUGCGUAGAGAUUAGGAGGAACAUCAGGGGCGAAGGCGACUUACUGGACUGUAACUGACACUGAGGCACGAAAGCGUGGGGAGCAAACAGGAUUAGAUACCCCGGUAGUC
rnacentral:rRNA from 1 species